AGGGGUCCAAUUAACGUUUAUCCAGGAGCUUGAUUACAAAACUUCAAGGACCAAAUCAAAAAUAGCAGUUGAAUGGAAAACGGAGCCGUUUCUUAGACAACUGUUCACUGUCUUCUUCCUCCGUUUCGACCGUUUGCAGCCAACGCUUACGUUUCUUCAUUAAAGGCGUUUUAAAGGGUCAGUUACAGGGCAUUUAGGAGGCCGGCCGUGACCACCACCGGGGCUGUCUCUGGCUUUAAAAGCCAGAGAAAGGCAACGGGAAAAAAAACAGAGAGAUCACGGGGAAAGAAAAAACAGAGCAAACAAACGGAACAAAAAACACAGAGACGAGAAGGAAAGAAAAACAGAGGAGCAACGCAGAGACAAGGAUUGGCCCUGCCAUUGUCUUCAUCCCUGUAGAAAAAAGAACGACCCAGAAAUUAUUUUCCACAGAAAGUCGGCAUCUGCAUCAUCUUCUUAGCUCCUUCAUCAUUCAAGAAGUUGUUGGAAAACGAAAGUAGACGUUGGACACAAAAGGAAGAAAGUAAUAGAUGAGAGUCACCACCAGCGCUGUAACCAUCUUCAUCGCCUCCCGAAGCAGCUACGCCCUUUCCUUUCUCCUUUCAUUCUCU
rnacentral:lncRNA from 1 species